rnacentral:rRNA from 1 species
CCUACGGGAGGCAGCAGUGGGGAAUAUUGGGCAAUGGGCGCAAGCCUGACCCAGCAACGCCGCGUGAAGGAAGAAGGCUUUCGGGUUGUAAACCUCUUUUGACAGGGAAGAGUAAAAGACGGUACCUGUCGAAUAAGCCAUGGCUAACGAAGUGCCAGCGGCUGCGGCAAUACGAAGGUGGCAGGUGUUGUCCGGCUUUCCUGGGUGUAAAGGGCGUGUAGCCGGGUUGACAAGUCAGAUGUGAAAUCCUGCGGCUUAACCGAAUAACUGCAUUUGAAACUGUUGAUCUUGAGUACUGGGGAGGCAUGCGGAAUUCCUAGUGUAGCGGUGAAAUGCGUAGAUAUUAGGAGGAACACCAGUGGCGAAGGCGGUCUGCUGGACAGCAACUGACGGUGAGGCGCGAAAGCGUGGGUAGCAAACAGGAUUAGAUACCCUGGUAGUC